rnacentral:lncRNA from 1 species
UCCAAAUCUCAUGUUGAAUUUUAACUCCCAGUGUUGGCGGUGUGGCCUGGUGGGAAGUGAUUGGAUCCUGUGGGUGGUUUCUAAUGGGUUAGCACUAUUCCACUAGUGCUGUCUCAUGAUGAACUUCUCAGGAGAUCUGCUCGUUUGAAAGUGUAUAGCACCUCCCCCUUCACUCUCCCUUCCUCCUGCUCCCGCCAUGAAGAUGUGCUUGCUUCUCCUUCACCUCCACCAUGACUGUAAGUUUCCUGAGACCUCCCCAGCCGUGCCUCCUAUACAGCCUGUGGAACUAGUGACAUAAAGCUUGAGAACUACCAGCCUGAGCAACAUCAUGAGAUCCCAUCUCUACAAACAAAUUUAAAAAAUUAGCCAGGCAUGGUGUUGCCUGCCUAUAGUCAUAGCCAUUCAAGAAGCUGAGGCAGGAGGAUCACUUGAGCCCAGGAGUUCCAGGUUACAAUGAGCUAUGAUCUUGCCACUCCAUGAGAACUUGGCAACAGUGGAAGACUCUGUUUCUAAACAAUAAAAAUGUAAAAAGAAAAAUUUAUUUGUAAACAUGGUAAGGAAUACCCAUAUAUACUCAUUACCUAAAUUUUCCAAUUUUUAACCUUUCUCCCUUGUGCACCCUAGUUUGCUAUCAUUUUCUCUAUCACAACAUAAAUACGUAAUUUUAUAACUUACAUAUAGAAGUCCUUUAUCUCUAAAUACUAGUGUCUGUAUUAUAAAAACAGAAAGAUGGUCCCUUAUAUAUAACCAGUGUAUACAUAAUCUACACAUUUAAAAUUUAUACAAAAUGUUAUCUCAUCUCUUAUAUGU